rnacentral:rRNA from 1 species
AUGGCUUUCAACAAAUUAGCACCCGCUGUAGGGUUCAUCGUAGCACUGACGGCGUUCUGCCUCAGUGAUGCUGGAGCUUUGGUGCCACCAGGCAACUGCACGAGGGAGUGCGGUGGACUGGAGAUCCCUUACCCGUUUGGCAUCGACCUCGAGGAUGGCUGCCAACUUUCUGACCGCCGGCAAGGCUUCAAGCUACGCUGCCUAGACAGAGGGGGCCGUGGCAAGAGGCUAUAUUACAUCAACCAGGAGGUGCUGGAGAUCUCGCUGGAGCACGGCCAGGUCCGGUGGCUGAACAACAUCUCCUCCUACUGCUACAACGCCACCGCCGGGGAAAUGAAGGUCAACAGCCCGCCGUCGAACAUGGACCUGGAGGGCUCCAUCUUCCGGCUCUCCGACACCGCCAAUAAGUUCACCGUGCUCGGGUGCAAGACGCUCGCCUACAUCGGCGACACGAACAACAGCACAUCGUACACGGCCGUGUGCGGAGCCACGUGCAAGGACGGCAACCUCUCGCUGCUGACCAACGGCUCCUGCGAGGGGAUCGGCUGCUGCCGGACGGCGAUCCCCAAGGGGCUGGAGAACUACCGGGUGUGGUUUGACAAGAGCUUGAGCACCCGCCGCUGCAGCUACGCGGCGCUGGUUGAGGCGUCCAACUUCACCUUCUCAUCCGCCUACCUUUCCUCGUCGGCGUUCGUCGACGCCUACGGCGGGCAGGCGCCGCUGGUGGUGGACUGGGCUAUUGGGACGCUGCAAGGGGAGACGUGCGAGUCAGCACGCGCGAAGCCGGAGUCCUAUGCGUGCGUCGGCAACGACAGCGUGUGCGUCGACUCGUCUAUUGGACGAGGCUACUUCUGCAAAUGCAAGAAAGGGUACCAAGGAAAUCCUUACCUUCCAUACGGAUGCAAAGAGACGCUGAAUUCAAACUUGGAGUUGGCUUUCUGAAUUUCAAGCUCUUGAGUUUUCAGCUGGUUCUUCAGGUCAGCAAGCUCCGACUCAAAUUGACUUAUGGUGGCCUGUAUUGAUACCAGGUUAUGGUAAGAAUCAUGAUGUCGAUGAGUGCCUUGACCCAAAAAAUUGUGAAGGGACGUGCCACAAUAUCAUUGGAGACUUCAUCUGUUGUCCUCCGAGAACAAAAUAUGAUCCCAAAAAAAUGCAGUGCACCACUACCAAAAAGAAAACUCUCGUCAUAGGUACCUACCUUUCAAUUAUUAUGGAGUAUAUGAAAAUGACAAUAAGCUUAUUGGCAUAUGGUUUUACAUAGGUGUUACCAUUGGGCUGGGUGCGGGCUUUGGAAUGCUACUUCUUGGCUUGAGUGGAAUGUCCAUCUCCUAUCGAUGGAAAAGAUGUGUCAAAAAACAACAGCGCAGGCUUUAUUUCCAGAAAAACCAAGGCCUUCUAUUGGAACAACUCAUAUUAUCAGAUGAAAAUGCAAGUGAUAGAACAAUGAUUUUCUCCUUAGAGGAGUUGGAGAAGGCAACAAACAACUUUGAUGAAACUCGUAUUGUAGGCCGUGGAGGACAUGGCAUGGUAUACAAAGGCAUCUUAUGAGACCAACGUGUGGUGGCUAUAAAAAAGUCAAAACUUGUUGAGGAAUCUGAGAUCAAUCAGUUUAUUAAUGAGGUUGUAAUCCUCUCCCAGAUAAAUCACCGAAAUAUCGUAAAGCUCUUUGGAUGUUGUCUUGAAACAGAAGUGCCGCUCUUAGUAUCUGAUUUUAUCCCUAAUGGCUCUCUAUUUGAUGUUUUGCAUGGUGAGCCAACUGGUAGACUAUGUUUAUCCUGGGAUGAUUGUUUGAGGGUUGCUCAAGAAACUGCUGGAGCUCUCUGUUAUCUACAUACAUCUGCCUCGAUAUCGGUCUUUCAUCGUGAUGUGAAGUCCUCGAAUAUCUUGUUAGAUGGAAAUUUCACCGCUAAAGUUUCAGAUUUUGGUGCUUCAAGAACAGUUCCUAUUGACCAAACUCAUGUUACCACAAAUGUACAAGGAACAUUCGGAUACCUGGAUCCAGAGUAUUAUCAAACUGGGCAACUAAAUGAGAAAAGCGAUGUGUAUAGUUUUGGUGUGGUACUCAUAGAGUUACUUACAAGAAAAGAGCCUGUUUUUAGAAGUAAUUCAGGUUCAAAGCAAAACUUGUCCAUCUACUUCAUUACAGAGAUUAAAACAAAGUCAGUAAGAGAGGUGGUAGCCACUCAAGUUCUUGAAGAAGCAAGCGAGGAUGAAAUUUGUAUCAUUGCCUCUCUUGCGGAGUCGUGUUUGCGUCUCAAGGGAGAAGAAAGGCCUACUAUGAAGCAAGUGGAGAGUACAUUACAAUAUUUGCGAACAAAAAGGUUGGCCUCAUGUCAUGCUGUUCAAAGGAGCGAAGAAGAAAUCCAACCACUUGUCUCUAGUUUUCAACCUUUCGCCAUUCAUAUGGAUGAUAAAUCUCAUUCAGAAGCAUCUAGUUCUUUCUUCAGUUCGGGGUGA